ACCAAACCUAUAACCGGUACGGGCUCUGAGAGGAGAAGCCCGGAGAUGGGCACUGAGACAAGGGCCCAGGCCCUAUGGGGCGCAGCAGGCGCGAAAACUCUGCAAUGGGCGAAAGCCUGACAGGGUUACUCUGAGUGAUUUCCGCUAAGGAGAUCUUUUGGCAGCUCUAAAAAUGGUGCAGAAUAAGGGGUGGGCAAGUCUGGUGUCAGCCGCCGCGGUAAUACCAGCACCCCGAGUGGUCGGGACGAUUAUUGGGCCUAAAGCAUCCGUAGCCGGUUGUGCAAGUCCUCCGUUAAAUCCAGCCGCUCAACGGAUGGGCUGCGGAGGAUACUACAGAACUAGGAGGCGGGAGAGGCAAGCGGUACUUAGUGGGUAGGGGUAAAAUCCUUUGAUCCAUUGAAGA
rnacentral:rRNA from 1 species